rnacentral:tRNA from 1 species
GGAGAGUUGGCAGAGCUCGGUUGAAUGCAGCUGACUUGAAAUCAGCCGUAGGUUUGCGCCUACCGGGGGUUCGAAUCCCUCACUCUCCGCCA